rnacentral:rRNA from 1 species
UAGCUAGUUGGUGAGGUAAAGGCUUACCAAGGCGACGAUCUGUAGCGGGUCUGAGAGGAUGAUCCGCCACACUGGAACUGAGACACGGUCCAGACUCCUACGGGAGGCAGCAGUGGGGAAUUUUGGACAAUGGGGGCAACCCUGAUCCAGCCAUGCCGCGUGAGUGAAGAAGGCCUUCGGGUUGUAAAGCUCUUUCGGCCGGGAAGAAAUCGCAUGGGCCAAUACCCUGUGUGGAUGACGGUACCGGAAUAAGAAGCACCGGCUAACUACGUGCCAGCAGCCGCGGUAAUACGUAGGGUGCGAGCGUUAAUCGGAAUUACUGGGCGUAAAGCGUGCGCAGGCGGUUUUGUAAGACAGGCGUGAAAUCCCCGGGCUUAACCUGGGAACUGCGUUUGUGACUGCAAGGCUAGAGUACGGCAGAGGGGGGUGGAAUUCCACGUGUAGCAGUGAAAUGCGUAGAGAUGUGGAGGAACACCAGUGGCGAAGGCAGCCCCCUGGGUCGAUACUGACGCUCAUGCACGAAAGCGUGGGUAGCAAACAGGAUUAGAUACCCUGAUAGUCCACGCCCUAAACUAUGUCAACUAGGUGUUGGGUGGGUAAAACCAUUUAGUACCGUAGCUAACGCGUGAAGUUGACCGCCUGGGGAGUACGGCCGCAAGGUUAAAACUCAAAGGAAUUGACGGGGACCCGCACAAGCGGUGGAUGAUGUGGAUUAAUUCGAUGCAACGCGAAAAACCUUACCUACCCUUGACAUGCCAGGAACUUGCCAGAGAUGGCUUGGUGCCCGAAAGGGAGCCUGGACACAGGUGCUGCAUGGCUGUCGUCAGCUCGUGUCGUGAGAUGUUGGGUUAAGUCCCGCAACGAGCGCAACCCUUGUCGUUAAUUGCCAUCAUUUAGUUGGGCACUUUAACGAGACUGCCGGUGACAAACCGGAGGAAGGUGGGGAUGACGUCAAGUCCUCAUGGCCCUUAUGGGUAGGGCUUCACACGUCAUACAAUGGUCGGUACAAAGGGUUGCCAAGCCGCGAGGCGGAGCCAAUCCCAGAAAGCCGAUCGUAGUCCGGAUUGCAGGCUGCAACUCGCCUGCAUGAAGUCGGAAUCGCUAGUAAUCGUGGAUCAGCAUGUCACGGUGAAUACGUUCCCGGGUCUUGUACACACCGCCCGUCACACCAUGGGAGCGGGUUCCGCCAGAAGUAGGUAGCCUAACCGCAAGGGGGGCGCUUACCACGGCGGGGUUCGUGACUGGGGUGAAGUCGGAACAAGGUAGCCGUAGGGGAACCUGCGGCUG